rnacentral:rRNA from 1 species
AUUGAACGCUGGCGGCGUGCCUAAUACAUGCAAGUCGAGCGCAGCGGCGGAUGGGUGAGUAACGCGUGGGUAACCUGCCCUUAAGUCUGGGAUACCAUUUGGAAACAGAUGCUAAUACCGGAUACUAAAGGAUGGGCCUGCGAUGCAUUAGCUAGUUGGUAAGGUAAAGGCUUACCAAGGCGAUGAUGCAUAGCCGAGUUGAGAGAGUGAUCGGCCACAUUGUGACUGAGACACGGCCCAAACUCCUACGGGAGGCAGCAGUAGGGAAUCUUCCACAAUGGACGAAAGCCUGAUGCAGCCAUGCCGCGUGUAUGAAGAAGGCCUUCGGGUUGUAAAGUACUUUCAGCGAGGAGGCGUUACUCACAGAAGAAGCACCGGCUAACUCCGUGCCAGCAGCCGCGGUAAUAC